rnacentral:tRNA from 1 species
GCAGUGGUGGUUUGGUGAUAGAACUCUCACCUUUCAUGGGGAAAACCCAGGUUCGAUUCCUAGCCAGUGCA